UCCCACAGGUCCUGUGGCAGGAGUAGGAGCAGAGAGGCAGAGAAGACACGGCCAUUCCCACCCUGUGCAAGACCUGCUUUUGGUGAAUCUGGCCCAGGGGAGCUACCCAGACUGGAGUCAGCCGCCCCACCACCAACAGCCCUGUGCUGGGUUGGCAGAGGAACUCAGACGAGGAUGGAAGGACUCUUGAGACCAAACCUGCCACCUACUGCUCUCCUCCCACUCUGCUUCCAGGAAGAACCAGCCUGUUGCGGACGGGCCUCCACCGCAUCUUCCUGAUGACAGCUGCUGUGGGCCUUCUCCUCUGCUGCAUUUGGGGUCCUCACAGCCUCGUUUACAGGAGUCUGCUGCCGCUCUCCUCUUACUGGUUCUUGCGGUUCUCUGGCAUCUUGGGUUCUUCUCUCAGCUCUGAAGAUUUCCGGAGUUCUCUACCAGGCUGUGGUAUUGGGAGCAUCGCCACAGAAGAAAAGAUGGCAUCUAGUGGAGAGUGUCACCUGGUCUCUCCUCCUCAGCCCCGUGGAGGAAGGUGACCUCCAACCUUGAAAGGAGAAUCAGCAGCAAAGGCCGCAGUUCAGCCUCCCUAGUCUAGACCAUGGGCCAGGCCCCAGUGGCAGGAUGUGUCUGCCUGCAUCUGGCUUGGGCAGAGGCACCACUGUUGCUUGGUCUACCUGUGAGGCAGGAGGUGGGGGAAGCCGGGAUGCCAGGCCUGACAGUGCUGGUGCCGUACACCGGAGCCAGCAGAAGUGGGGGGCUUUGCCCAUCUCUAAAAGCAGUCCUCUUCCUUAGGUCUGCCUGGAAAUGGAGUCUGACCUCACAGUGUUCCUAAGUUAGCAGGGAGUACAUAAAUUAAGAAAGGACCAGCUGUGAUUCAAACGUCGUCUUCACUGUCCAGCAGUUUUUAACGAAGUGACAGGACCCUAAAUCAGUUCUGCCUGGCACUGCUUAUUAGCUGCAAAUUGUCCUGCAUCUGUCUGUCAGAAGCAGGAAGGACAUCUCAUUGCUUCUAACGCCUCAAGUCCUAAUAUGUAGUGGGCAUCAAAGGGUUUCCCAUGCUCGCCUUAGAGUGGAGCUCACAGUGUGGCUGUUCACUCAGGUCCCAUCACUGCCUGUCUGCUCUGCUCUGUCCACCCUGGCGAGUGUCCAGGAGAUCACUGUACUUUCAUGGCAUUCACAAGGGGACAAGUAGGUAGGAAGAGGCUGGAGAAACACAUGAAGUAGCUAUGAAGAAUGUGCUACCACUGUGUCAUGCUAACUGCGCACUCAGGAGAAGGUGUGGUUCUCAGUCCCAGCCUCCAGUGGAUGGUGCUUUCUCCCUCACUUGUCUAUUUGCUCGGCCUCUCUCCAGGGCCUUCCUGCCCACUUGCAUUACUGACUUCUGGCUCCCUGUGCUGUGUACUGCUGACCCUGGCUGAGAUGGAGGGGAGGGGCAGGCAUCCUCUGCUUCAGCAAGCUUAACCCACGUGUGGGUUCCUGCCUUCAUCACAUGCAAAAGACUUCUAGAAAAGGCCAUGCCAUGUAGGGUGGAGUGUAGGGGACCCUGUGACAGCAGCAGCAGAAAUCAAACAGCAAACUCAGGCUCCCUGGAAUACCUUCCCCCUGCCUCAGCGGCUGCUCCAGUCAGCAGCUCACACAGCCUCAAGUACUCACUUUCUUCUCCGGUUCUCUGAAAACCCAGAUUGGAGAGUCAGGAACCUAAAAGCAGUUUCUGGUACAUUCCACUCAUUCCUGCAGCUGGAUUUACUCAGGGCUCUGGUUCCUAGUAUGGCAUCUCCUUUGAAGAGACCUUCAGAUCGGAACCAGCCUGGACAGGUCAGCUCCUAGAUGUGGCCACAAGCCAGUUCCCACAGACACUAUGCGAGCAACACCUCCACCCCACAUACCUGGGAGCUCCUCUUUGAUUUUUGUUUAUGUUGUUGAGACAGGGCUUCACUUAGCCUAGACUGGCCUUGAAUUCCUCAUGCUCUGCUUCAGUCUCCAGGUGUUUAGACUGUAAGCAUGGACCACCACACCUGGCCUUGGUGCUGACAAGAAGGGGUCUCAGAAGGUUGAGUGAGGUUAUGACCCCCACAACAGCCUCUUCCUCCCUGCCAGGCACCAGGGAGGACCUGCCUAUGCUGCCCCCUUUCCCCUUGGCCUUCAGGGCCCAGCUCACAUGUCUGCUGAAGUCCCUCUAACCGUUACCUUGGCCUUGAUUAGACAAAGGGAACAUGGCCUUGUUCAGCCUCACACAGCAAGCCCCAGGUGAUGGCAACUCCUGUGUCCAUCUCAUGCCACACACUGAGUGCUGAGCCAUUGCAAGACAGGAACCGGGGCCCUCCAGCCUCAGCCCUAGCACAGGCCACAAGCUCACAGAACAUUUCCAAAGCAGCAUGACCGAUAGUCAGGUACAAAUGCCAAAAGGUACCAACCCAUGUGUUCUCAAUGGUGUUCUGGCAAGGAUUUUGGUGAAAAGAAACACUGGUCUCACAAAGUAACCCUUACCAGUGCAAAUUGAUUGGGGUGCUAUGGUUACCCUUGGGCAGUUGUGCCCAAAAUACCUGUGAGAAAAUCUUAAGAGGAAACUGAUCCUGGCUCAUAGCUUCCAAAGGUUCAGUCUGUGACUGCUUUCCCACACACUUGGGACACAGUUGGAGAAAGUUUCUUUGACUCUUAAAGACAGGAAGUGGAGAGUAAGGGGGACCUGGUGAUCACCUACAGCCUUCAAGUUUCCUCCAGUGACACCCACCUCCUAAAGCUUCCAAAGUUUCAUGAAACAAUGGAACAAGUGUUCACCACAUGAGCCUGUUGUGGGCAGUGCAUAGUCAAACCACGGGAAGGUAACAAAACGCCAGAUACAGAUAUCUAGAAAGAGCUCUAUAAACCCCUAAAGACCCAUAAUAACUUGGAUGGGGCUCAAGACCUAGCAAGGACACAGUAGCCUAGCCUUGGUACCUGCUGAAUAGGUACCAGCAGUCAUGUGACUUGGCCUGUCAAUUUAUCAGCAGGUCUCACCUGUAAUCUGAACAUGGGUAAUGACACUAAUCAUGGCACCUUUCCCUCAUUCCUUGCUUUAUUCAGUAAUUUUUAAACAACGUAAUAAGCAACCCUUGAUACACAACUACUAGGCUCUUGGGAACAGCAUGCACUAUUAGUCCCUCUGGCUGAGCCCAUCCCCUGCCCGUACAGCCUAAAGUAGGGACCUGGACUAACUUCAGAAUCCUCACUUCCAGGCUGUACUUUCUAUACAGGGUCAUGGUAUCUGUCUGCAUUUCGAAAGGUAUCUAUCUACUUUUGUGUAUGUCUCUACUAAAAGAUGCAGUUGACCUGGGGCACUUCAUUUUCACAUCUUUUGAAAGCUGUCUGCUGCUCUGCUUUGGUUAAAAGUGUUUCCAGCACCUGGGACAUUGUUUAUAGAUCUGCUCUGUAGCCUUUGAACACACCUAGGAAAUGCCUUCUAAGCAGUUAUCUGUCCUCCUACAGCUCAAGGAUUCAGCAAUGAACCUGCAUCACCUCCCAUGCUUGGUAUCAUCAGCUGUUAAUGCCCAUCUCCUUCUAGGAGUGUUGCAGCCAUGCGGCAUGUGUGAACCAGCACAGCUCAGUCAGUGCCUGAGAUAAAAUGUGCUUGAUUACAAAAGAACUCAUACUACAGGAACCCAGAAAAUCAGGAAGAGGGGAGCCUGACAGCAGUCACCUCCCAAGGCCUGGCAUUUCUUUACAAUGGAGGAAUACAUUCCCCUUAGCUGGGCAGUCUACACCUGUUUAGUCACAGUCUGUGGGAGCCCUCCUUCCACCCAGCCACGGUUAUACCCAGCCACCAGUGUUCCCAGAGUCCCCAGACUGCCACAGCUCUAGUCCAGGUGCCCAGAGAGCAACUUCUACAUAACAAGCCUGGCUCCUUUUCAGAGUUACAGUGAAGAUGUCUAGAAGUCUGGGCAUCUCCCUCUAGGGAAGCCGGCCUCUUCUGAUCUAGGGUAGGAGUUCCCACCAAGCACUGAACAAAGCCAUUCUUUUACUUUAAAACCUAUGUUAGGAAUCUUCAGUUCAGCAGCAGAGUGCCAUCAAGGACAGAGGUGGGCACCAGGGCUGCCCGUGCAGAACUGCACCAAGGCAUAUAGAUGUAGUUUCCAGGGGCCACCAUGAGAGAGAAAAAACCAUGACUAUAUGCCAGUGUGGACAGUCCUGCAUGCAGCAUUUUCUUGUUGGAGAAUAUCAUUUUAAGGUGUUACUUUUGUUUAUGUUGCAUUUGUUUAACUCUGUGAAGCUGUGUUACUGUGCCUGUCUAAAACACCUGAUGGUCUAAUAAAGAACUGGACAGCCAAUAGUGAGGUAAGAGAAAGGAUAGGUGGGGCUGGCAGGCAGAGAGAAUGUAUAGAAGGAGAAAUCUGAGAGGAGAGGAAAUCUAGGAGCCAGAGAAGGAAUGAGAGAGAAGGAGGAGGACAUCAGGAGCCAGCCACCCAGCUACACAGCAAGCCACAGAGUAAGAGUAAGAUUUACAGAAGUAAGAGAAUGGGAAAAGCCCAGAGGCAAAACUUAGAUGGGAUAAUUUAAAGUUAAGGAAAGCUGGCAAGAAACAAGCCAAGCUAAGGCUGGACAUUUAUGAUUAAGAAUAAGCCUUUGUGUGUGAUUUAUUUGGGAGCUGGGUGGCGGGGCCCUCCAAAAGAGUAAAAAAAAAAAUUUUCUGGUGAUCUAAUUUCAAAUUCUUGCCACCUUUCUAUGGGUCAAGUUCUACCCAGUUAAGAAAAGGAAAGCUGUCUUGGGCAUCACCAUCCUCUGGAGAGAUGCACACAUGCCGUUUAUAAAGCAAAAUCAGUGCCAUCAUUAGGCACCAUGGAGGGUGUGAGUGCUGCUGUGGACUCCACAGAUCAGCUCACCCCGUGGAAGCCAUGGAGAUUUUCACUCUGAAGUUUGCUAGACCAUCACAGGGUAGAAAGAAGGAUGAGUAGACAGGACGGCAUCUCCCUCACACUUAGUCCUUCACAUACUGAAGAAGCACGGGCCCUGAGGAGAGGACACUGGGCAGAGCUUCAGAAAGCCUCACUGGAGAGCAUCUCUGAGGGCUCUGAAGGUGGAGACUGUGUGCCCAGCAUGACUAGGACAUCAGGGUGGACAAGGAUGCCAUGACAGGGCAGAAGAGCUGCCCAAGUGGCAGGCUGGGUCCCACUACACAGGGGUGGGAAGGCAGACAGGAACCCAGAGUCCAUCAGAACCCGGGCAGCAGUUAGCUGUGUGGGAGAGCAGGGAAACUGUGACAAAUAUAGCCCUGACAGGCCGCCCUGACAGGAGGGUGGCAAAAGCACAUGGGAGAGGGACUGGACAGGGAAUCAGGAGAUGACCUGGGCUGGGAUACAGAUGACAGUGGAGUGACCUGCACUGGAUGGAUUGAAAGUGCAUCUGAAGUGUGCUUUCACUGAAGGCUAGUGCAAAUCUACCACAUACUACACCACACAUAUGCACGCACACACAUACCACACAUACAACCACAUACACACAGGACUCACACAUACACACCACACAUACACAAACACACACACACACAGAGGACUCACACAGAGGACUCACACACACACAGGACUCACACAUACACACCACACAUACACAAACACACACAGAGGACUCACACACCACACAUACACACACAGGACUCACACCACACACACACACACACACACACACACACAUACAGAGGACUCACACACACACAUACAACCCCACACACAGGACACACACACACACCACACAUACACACACACAUUCAGAGGACUCACACACACACAUACAACCCCACACACAGGACACACACACACACCACACAUACACACAGAGGACUCACACACACAUACAGAGAACUCACACACACAGAGGACUCAUACACAUACACCACACACACACACACACACACACACACACACACACAGAGGACUCACUACCCAAACUAGCACACUGCAGCAGCACUGCAGGUAACCGAGUAUCACAGGCAGCAGCACCGCAGGGUAACCGAGUAUCACAGGCAGCAGCACCGCAGGGUAACUGAGUAUCACAGGCAGCAGCACUGCAGAUAACCGAGUAUCACAGGCAGCAGCACCGCAGGUAACUGAGUAUCACAAGCAGCAGCACCGCAGGGUAACUGAGUAUCACAGGCAGCAGCACUGCAGGGUAACCGAGUAUCUCAGGCAGCUGCACCGCAGGGUAACCAAGUAUCACAGGCAGCAGCACCGCAGGUAACCGAGUAUCACAGGCAGCAGCACCACAGGUAACCAAGUAUCACAGGCAGCUGUACCGCAGGGUAACCGAGUAUCACAGGCAGCAGCACCGCAGGGUAACCGAGUAUCACAGGCAGCAGCACCGCAGGGUAACCAAGUAUCACAGGCAGCAGCACCGCAGGGUAACUGAGUAUCACAGGCAGCAGCAAUGUGUCAUGACUCUGGGUGCUGCUGUGUUCUGGGUCUUAGAGGCGGUUGCUCGUGGAACUGAAGCUGUAAAUGCACCCCUCUCCUCUUCCACCCCGCCCCCGUCUAACCUGAAGUCUAUUCCACCUGGGGUUCUGGUUUCAGCCUAACAGUCUGGCUUUUUUCAUGGGCAGAAUGUGGUAUAUGACAGGAUCUCUUUAUUUUUUAAGGGUGGAUAUUAUUUCACUGAAUGUACAUACCACAUUUUCUUACAUCUUCACCCCUAGAAGGACCCUUAGGUACCUCCCACCUCUUGGGUAUGGGAACAGUGCUACAAUGAACAUGGUGCGCACAUGUUUCUUUCAGGGGUGUCUCCAAUUCUUACAAUGUAACACCUAGAAGUAGGAUUGUUGUGUUCCAUGUUAUUGUAUGUUUAGUCUUCCGAGGGACCCCUGCACUGUUUCCCUUGGUAGUUACACUGUUUCACUCUCCAGUAAACACCACAUAGGGCUCUAGCUUCUCAUCCAGGUCCUCACCAUUUGUUACUUUUGCAUGUUUCCAAUGUGUAAGGUGGCUUCCCACAGACACUUGAUUUAUGUCGCUCUAGCAGUGCCGGGCAUCUUUUAAUGUUUGCUGACUGUUUGUGUUUCUCGGGAGAAAUGUGAUUCAAACUUCUGCCCAUUUUACACUGGAUUGUAGCUUUCUGGUUUAUUCUGCAUCUUCUGCCCUUUUCCCUGCAGCUAUUCCAAGUCCUACAUGUCCUCUCUAGAUUUUGUUUCUAUUCUUUGUUUUCUUGUAAUUUUAUGACUUUGGGUCUUAAGUCAGGUCCCUAACCGUCUGGAGUGAGUUUCUCUAAGGUACCAGGAAGGGCUCAAUGCAUUCUUUUGCAAGUGAUACUUGGGGUUCUAUGUCUUUCCAUUUACUCGUGGCUUCCUUAAUUCCUUUCAAUAAUGUUUGCAGUGCGUGAUGUGUGGAUCUUUUCUCAGUUCCAUUCAGCCUAGCUGCUUUGAUGUGACUGUAACUAGAUGGUCAUGAUCUCCCCUCAGACAGUUUGUCAAGAGCAUACAGAAACUGGACCCUGGGGUGACAGCUCAGAACCCUGCAACCUGGUUGAAUCCGUGUUAUAUCUGCGUUACCUGGGACUUUAGGGGAUCAAUCUUUCAAGUUUCCCUUCCUGCUUUCAUGUCCUCCCUGGCCUGACUGUCCUGAUGGGAACAGUGGCAGGAGACGGCAUCCCCUUCUGCUGACUCCAGCAGGCGUGCUGGAGGGUGAUGUUAGCUGAGGAUGUAACAAUGGUGAGGGCCUCUCUGUUCUUCUUUCAUACUUUCAUCACUGAGGGUGUCACAAAGCAUCUUUUCCACAUCAGCUGGGCUGAGAGUGUGUCUCUGCCCUCCUGUUAAUGUGCAUUAUAUAAAUUUUCGGGUUCUGAACCAUUCUUGCCUUCUGAAAACCAGCCCCAUGAUUUGGUCAGGGCAUGGCAUCCUUUCCAUGGAUGUUGAAUUGGUUCUGGUGUUUUCUGAGGCACCUGUAGUCACAGUAAGGACAUCUGUGUUGUUUUGGUGUCAGGAUAAGUCUGACCAUGUAAAUGUAUCUGAACUGACUCUUUCCUUACAGUUGCUGAGAGCUGCUUUUGCUCCUCUGUAUGAGGUGGCGAUGACCAACAAUGAAAUUGUCUGGCCUUGGACUUGCCCCUUCAUGAAGAGUUAGGUACCGAUUCGGUCUCCUAACUAUAGAUCUGCCCAGAUGUUUUAUUUCUACCAAAAUUCCAUGGCAGCUUGUUCAAACUUGAACUUUAUAGGGAGAUCCCACAUUUACUUAUGGGUCAGAAAGCAGGAAGGGAAUAAUCGCAGGUGACUGUGGGUCAUACCUGGGCUGCAAAGAGGGUGCCCAAAGAAACUCAAAUAGAGCUUAAGCUUUAAUCUGUUUGUGCAGAGAGUGCAUACAAAUGGUACCAGAGGAAGUUAGUUUACGCUGUUUGUGCAGAGAAUAGAUACAAAGGAUGGCUGAGAGGAAGUUAGCUCGGAUUGUUUGUAUGGAGAUUAGAGACGAAUGGUGAGGAAGUAAGUUAGCUCAAGUUAUUUAUGCUAAAAUAAGAUGCUAAACACAGGAAAUGAUGUCAGGGUAUAGACAACUUGUAAACAGGGUGACCUUUAAAAUGAUUGGAUGGUUCCUUCAUCCCCUCCCAGGGUUCUGAGGUUUUCUGGUAUAAAAGAGGCUUACUGCCUAUCAAUAAAGGAGUUCUUGCUUGACUUGA